AUACUUACCUGGCAAGGGAGAUACCGUGAUCAAGAAGGCGGUUCACCCAGGGCGAGGCUCAGCCAUUGCACUCCGGCUGUGCUGACCCCGGCGAAUUUCCCAAAUGUGGAAAUCUCGAUUGCAUAAUUUAUGGUAGUGGGGGACUGCGUUCGCGCUCUCCCCUG
rnacentral:snRNA from 8 species